rnacentral:rRNA from 1 species
UACGGAGGAGGCAAGCGUUAUCCGGAAUUAUUGGGCGUAAAGCGUCCGCAGGUGGCACCUCAAGUCUGCUGUCAAAGACCGGGGCUUAACCCCAGAAAGGCAGUGGAAACUGAAGUGCUAGAGUGCAGUAGGGGUAGAGGGAAUUCCCGGUGUAGCGGUGAAAUGCGUAGAGAUCGGGAAGAACAUCGGUGGCGAAAGCGCUCUGCUGGACUGCAACUGACACUCGGGGACGAAAGCUAGGGGAGCGAAGUGGG